rnacentral:rRNA from 1 species
GACGAACGCUGGCGGCGUGCUUAACACAUGCAAGUCGAGCGGUAAGGCCCUUUCGGGGGUACACGAGCGGCGAACGGGUGAGUAACACGUGGGUGACCUGCCCUCAGCUCUGGGAUAAGCCUGGGAAACCGGGUCUAAUACCGGAUAUGACUCCAUGACGCAUGUUGUGGGGUGGAAAGCCUUGUGCGGCUGAGGAUGGGCCCGCGGCCUAUCAGCUUGUUGGUGGGGUGAUGGCCUACCAAGGCGACGACGGGUAGCCGGCCUGAGAGGGCGACCGGCCACACUGGGACUGAGACACGGCCCAGACUCCUACGGGAGGCAGCAGUGGGGAAUCUUGCGCAAUGGGCGAAAGCCUGACGCAGCAACGCCGCGUGGGGA